AAAUUGAAGAGUUUGAUCAUGGCUCAGAUUGAACGCUGGCGGCAGGCCUAACACAUGCAAGUCGAGCGGUAGCACAGAGAGCUUGCUCUCGGGUGACGAGCGGCGGACGGGUGAGUAAUGUCUGGGAAACUGCCUGAUGGAGGGGGAUAACUACUGGAAACGGUAGCUAAUACCGCAUAAUGUCGCAAGACCAAAGUGGGGGACCUUCGGGCCUCAUGCCAUCAGAUGUGCCCAGAUGGGAUUAGCUAGUAGGUGGGGUAACGGCUCACCUAGGCGACGAUCCCUAGCUGGUCUGAGAGGAUGACCAGCCACACUGGAACUGAGACACGGUCCAGACUCCUACGGGAGGCAGCAGUGGGGAAUAUUGCACAAUGGGCGCAAGCCUGAUGCAGCCAUGCCGCGUGUGUGAAGAAGGCCUUCGGGUUGUAAAGCACUUUCAGCGGGGAGGAAGGCGGUGAGGUUAAUAACCUCAUCGAUUGACGUUACCCGCAGAAGAAGCACCGGCUAACUCCGUGCCAGCAGCCGCGGUAAUACGGAGGGUGCAAGCGUUAAUCGGAAUUACUGGGCGUAAAGCGCACGCAGGC
rnacentral:rRNA from 1 species